rnacentral:rRNA from 1 species
AAUCAACGCUGGCGGCGUGCCUCAGACAUGCAAGUCGAACGCGAAAGUCCCCUUCGGGGGACAAGUAGAGUGGCGCACGGGUGAGUAACACGUAGGUAAUCUACCUUCGGGUGGGGAAUAACGCAGGGAAACUUGCGCUAAUACCGCAUAAUGCAGCGGCACCACAUGGUGACAGUUGUUAAAGCGGGGGAUUUUCGGACCUCGCGCCUGAAGAGGAGCCUGCGGCAGAUUAGCUAGUUGGUAAGGUAACGGCUUACCAAGGCGACGAUCUGUAGCCGGCCUGAGAGGGCGGUCGGCCACACUGACACUGACAUACGGGUCAGACUCCUACGGGAGGCUGCAGUCGGGAAUUUUGGGCAAUGGGCGAAAGCCUGACCCAGCAACGCCGCGUGAAGGAUGAAAUCCCUCGGGAUGUAAACUUCGCAAGAAUAGGAAGAAUGAACGAGCGCUAACACCGUUCGUGAUGACGGUACUAUUUGUAAGCUCCGGCUAACUCCGUGCCAGC